UAUUGCUAUGAUGAUAUGUGUAUCCCAGCUCAUUAUGAGACCUUUUGUAGGUCUGAGAGUAGAAUUUUCCUACACAUAAUUCUGAGGCCUCUAAUA